UGGGGAAUUUUGGACAAUGGGCGAAAGCCUGAUCCAGCAAUGCCGCGUGUGUGAAGAAGGCCUUCGGGUUGUAAAGCACUUUUGUCCGGAAAGAAAUCCUUGGCUCUAAUACAGUCGGGGGAUGACGGUACCGGAAGAAUAAGCACCGGCUAACUACGUGCCAGCAGCCGCGGUAAUACGUAGGGUGCAAGCGUUAAUCGGAAUUACUGGGCGUAAAGCGUGCGCAGGCGGUUUGCUAAGACCGAUGUGAAAUCCCCGGGCUCAACCUGGGAACUGCAUUGGUGACUGGCGGGCUAGAGUAUGGCAGAGGGGGGUAGAAUUCCACGUGUAGCAGUGAAAUGCGUAGAGAUGUGGAGGAAUACCGAUGGCGAAGGCAGCCCCCUGGGCCAAUACUGACGCUCAUGCACGAAAGCGUGGGGAGCAAACAGGAUUAGAUACCCUGGUAGUCCACGCCCUAAACGAUGUCAACUAGUUGUUGGGAUUCAUUUCCUUAGUAACGUAGCUAACGCGUGAAGUUGACCGCCU
rnacentral:rRNA from 1 species